CUAACCAGAGCAUCAAGUGGCCAUGGGGUCAGUUUAUACUAGCCAUUUCGAUUGAGGUGAUCUGGAAUCUCGAGUAACCUGAGAAAAAGUGACAAUGUUGGUCUCAAAGAACUGGAAAAGGGAUGGUGUGGACUGCUGGGUAGCUGUUUCUGCCAAGUGGCAUGGAGGAAAAGCGAGAGGCCGUGGGCGGGUGGCACCGUGCCCAGGACUUCAGUACAGAGGCCACCCCUAGAUCCGGUCAAGCCUCAUCUGAGCACAGAAGAUCCAUAUUUGAGGAAAGUCAGCACCAAGAAAAGACAUGCGACUUAUCUGUCCCGGGACAUUCGUUUGUAAAAUGGGAACCAUGAUAAUAUAUAACACAAUAACUUCACUGUUUUGCCAAGUGGCCACACUGACCAAGUGACAGAUGAAGGAGCAACACAGCCAAACCAUUAAAAAAAAACAAUGUGAAAUACUAAACGUGUCAUACUGACGCAGUGUCCUCUUCGGCUUCCCUUCCAUCUUGAAAGAGGCACUACCCUUCUCCGCUGAGCACCCCAAAGUGUAAGCACGCACGUGCCCAAGCGUCUAAACAUGGCUCACAGCUUUGCGCCCUGCAGAAGCAAGAAACAGUUUUUCUUAAGUUUGAAGUCUUUGCUCAAACACAGUUUGCAAUGUUUUGGGAACCGGAGCCAAGCUCUGUUGAAUGCUUAUGAGACAUUUUGCUUAUUAAAUAACCUUCUGAAAGCUGCCAGGUUUUAGUGACUCAUGGACUCAUGCAAACGGAGGCAUGGCGGCUUGAGUUAUGGAACCAGAGGGAGGAGAUGCUCAAAUGUGCAUUUUACAGGAAGGAAACUGGCUGCCAGGACAGUGGAGACGAUUUGCCCAGACCACGCCCUGCGAAGUGCCCACAGGAGAGUCAGGCCAGAACCCUAAACCUCCGAGCUCAGGGCUCUUUUUUCUGAACACAUUUUCCCAUGGAUCUUCUGGCCCACGUGGCUCUAAUUCCAUGGCCAGCACAAAACUCUAGAAAGAAAUCAGAAAUGACCUACCUUCCCUACCUCCUCUCCCAGCCCUGGUGAUAUUAAGAUGAGAAAAAUGUUUAGGAUUGCAAAGCUGCUUAGGAUAUCAUGCUUUCAAGGA